rnacentral:rRNA from 1 species
AUUGAACGCUGGCGGCAGGCUUAACACAUGCAAGUCGAACGAGUGGCGGACGGGUGAGUCAUGCUUGGGAAUCUGGCUUAUGGCGGGGGAUAACGACGGGAAACUGUCGCUCAUACCGCGUACCAUAGGAUGAGCCCAAGGGGGAUUAGGUAGUUGGUGGGGUAAUGGCGUACCAAGCCGACGAUCUCGAGCUGGUCUGAGAGGAUGACCAGCCACACCGGGACUGAGUCACGGCCAGGACGCCUACGUGAUGCAGCAGUGGGGAAUUUUGGACAAUGGGCGCACGCCUGAUCCAGCCAUGCCGCGUGUCUGAAGAAGGCCUUCGGGUUGUAAAGGACUUUUGUCAGGGAAGCGGUACCUGAAGAAUAAGCACCGGCUAACUACGUGCCAGCCGCCGCGGUAAUAC